AACGAACGCUGGCGGCAGGCCUAACACAUGCAAGUCGAGCGAAGCCUUCGGGCUUAGCGGCGGACGGGUGAGUAACGCGUGGGAACGUGCCCUUUGCUACGGAAUAGCCCCGGGAAACUGGGAGUAAUACCGUAUGUGCCCUUCGGGGGAAAGAUUUAUCGGCAAAGGAUCGGCCCGCGUUGGAUUAGGUAGUUGGUGGGGUAAUGGCCUACCAAGCCGACGAUCCAUAGCUGGUUUGAGAGGAUGAUCAGCCACCCUGGGACUGAGACACGGCCCAGACUCCUACGGGAGGCAGCAGUGGGGAAUCUUAGAAAAUGGGGGAAACCCUGAUCUAGCCAUGCCGCGUGAUCGAUGAAGGCCUUAGGGUUGUAAAGAUCUUUCAGUGGGGAAGAUAAUGACUGUACCCACAGAAGAAGCCCCGGCUAACUCCGUGCCAGCAGCCGCCGUAACAC
rnacentral:rRNA from 1 species